CGGUGGGGUAGAGGCGCGGUAUUUAAGAGUAGGCUGUGUGAGGAUGACAACGAAGAUCACAGAUGAAAGGGAAUACUGCCGAAGCAAAUAAACUUGUCGAUCGUUUAUUGUGCUGGGGUUACUCUGAAUAAGAGUAAAACUGUCAUUUUGAGGGAUACCUUCAUAAUGAGGAGCUACAGAUCGU
rnacentral:ncRNA from 2 species